rnacentral:rRNA from 1 species
GACGAACGCUGGCGGCGUGCUUAACACAUGCAAGUCGAACGGAAAGGCCCUGCUUGUGUGGGGUGCUCGAGUGGCGAACGGGUGAGUAACACGUGAGUAACCUGCCCUUGACUUUGGGAUAACUUCAGGAAACUGGGGCUAAUACCGGAUAGGAGCUCCUGCUGCAUGGUGGGGGUUGGAAAGUUUCGGCGGUUGGGGAUGGACUCGCGGCUUAUCAGCUUGUUGGUGGGGUAGUGGCUUACCAAGGCUUUGACGGGUAGCCGGCCUGAGAGGGUGACCGGCCACAAUGGGACUGAGAUACGGCCCAGACUCCUACGGGAGGCAGCAGUGGGGAAUAUUGCACAAUGGGCGGGAGCCUGAUGCAGCAACGCCGCGUGCGGGAUGACGGCCUUCGGGUUGUAAACCGCUUUCGCCUGUGACGAAGCGUGAGUGACGGUAAUGGGUAAAGAAGCACCGGCUAACUACGUG